ACUAGGAUGGGUGACCUCCCGGGAAG
rnacentral:snRNA from 1 species